rnacentral:rRNA from 1 species
CCUUACCUGGUCUUGACAUCCACGGAAGUUUUCAGAGAUGAGAAUGUGCCUUCGGGAACCGUGAGACAGGUGCUGCAUGGCUGUCGUCAGCUCGUGUUGUGAAAUGUUGGGUUAAGUCCCGCAACGAGCGCAACCCUUAUCCUUUGUUGCCAGCGGUCCGGCCGGGAACUCAAAGGAGACUGCCAGUGAUAAACUGGAGGAAGGUGGGGAUGACGUCAAGUCAUCAUGGCCCUUACGACCAGGGCUACACACGUGCUACAAUGGCGCAUACAAAGAGAAGCGACCUCGCGAGAGCAAGCGGACCUCAUAAAGUGCGUCGUAGUCCGGAUUGGAGUCUGCAACUCGACUCCAUGAAGUCGGAAUCGCUAGUAAUCGUGGAUCAGAAUGCCACGGUGAAUACGUUCCCGGGCCUUGUACACACCGCCCGUCACACCAUGGGAGUGGGUUGCAAAAGAAGUAGGUAGCUUAACCUUCGGGAGGGCGCUUACCACUUUGUGAUUCAUGACUGGGGUGAAGUCGUAACAAGGUAACCGUAGGGGAACCUGCGGUUGGAUCAC